rnacentral:rRNA from 1 species
AACGAACGCUGGCGGCAUGCCUAACACAUGCAAGUCGAACGAGACCUUCGGGCCUAGUGGCGCACGGGUGCGUAACGCGUGGGAUCCUGCCCUUGGGUUCGGAAUAACUCCCCGAAAGGGGUGCUAAUACCGGAUAAUGUCUUCGGACCAAAGAUUUAUCGCCUUUGGAUGGGCCCGCGUUGGAUUAGCUAGUUGGUAGGGUACAAGCCUACCAAGGCGACGAUCCAGAGCUGGUCUGAGAGGAUGAUCAGCCACACUGGGACUGAGACACGGCCCAGACUCCUACGGGGGGCAGCAGAGGGGAAUAUUGUACAAUGGGCGAAAGCGUGAUCCAGCAAUGCCGCGUGAGUGAUGAAGGCCUUAGGGUUGUAAAGCCCUUUUACCCGGGAUGAUAAUGACAGUACCGGGAGAAGAAGCUCCGGCUAACUCCGUG